AAAUAAGAAACAAAUUUUGUAAUUAGUUUCGACCUAAUCUCUGGUAUUUAUACCCUUAUUUU
rnacentral:tRNA from 1 species